rnacentral:rRNA from 1 species
GAUGAACGCUGGCGGCGUGCCUAAUACAUGCAAGUCGAGCGAACGGACGAGAAGCUUGCUUCUCUGAUGUUAGCGGCGGACGGGUGAGUAACACGUGGAUAACCUACCUAUAAGACUGGGAUAACUUCGGGAAACCGGAGCUAAUACCGGAUAAUAUUUUGAACCGCAUGGUUCAAAAGUGAAAGACGGUCUUGCUGUCACUUAUAGAUGGAUCCGCGCUGCAUUAGCUAGUUGGUAAGGUAACGGCUUACCAAGGCAACGAUGCAUAGCCGACCUGAGAGGGUGAUCGGCCACACUGGAACUGAGACACGGUCCAGACUCCUACGGGAGGCAGCAGUAGGGAAUCUUCCGCAAUGGGCGCAAGCCUGACGGAGCAACGCCGCGUGAGUGAUGAAGGUCUUCGGAUCGUAAAACUCUGUUAUUAGGGAAGAACAUAUGUGUAAGUAACUGUGCACAUCUUGACGGUACCUAAUCAGAAAGCCACGGCUAACUACGUG